GGGAGCUUCAUUACACGAUGCAAUGGGAACAGGACCUGAAUGAGGAAUUGGAAGGCGUUGAAUGGCAGGAAAUCUGGGAAGCUGCGGCGACCUCUUCUAUUUGUGUUACUUUUCAAGAGCAAGCCUACAAGACUAUGUUUAGGUGGUACGCUACUCCGGCAAAGCUUUGUAGGAUGCAUAAAAUGGCUACGGAUGUUUGCUGGAGAGGAUGCGGCCAGAAGGGAACGUACAUACAUAUGUGGUGGGUCUGUCCAGAGGCACAAAAAUUUUGGAACCAGGUCGCCGUUCUACUGGGAAACAUCUUUGAUAGGGUAGUUAAGCCGGAUCCAUGGGUGUUCCUUCUGGCCAGGUCUAUGGAGAAC